rnacentral:rRNA from 1 species
UACGAAGGGUGCAAACGUUGCUCGGAAUUAUUGGGCGUAAAGCGCACGUAGGCGGCAUUGCAAGUCGGAUGUGAAAUCCCUCGGCUUAACCUGGGAACUGCCUUUGUGACUGCAAGGCUUGAGUGCGGCAGAGGGGGAUGGAAUUCCGCGUGUAGCAGUGAAAUGCGUAGAUAUGCGGAGGAACACCGAUGGCGAAGGCAAUCCCCUGGGCCUGCACUGACGCUCAUGCACGAAAGCGUGGGGAGCAAACAGG